rnacentral:rRNA from 1 species
UGCCAGCCGCCGCGGUAACACGGGGGGCGCAAGCGUUAUUCGGAAUUAUUGGGCGUAAAGGGCGCGCAGGCGGUCUGUUAAGUCUGAUGUGAAAGCCCGGGGCUCAACCCCGGAAGUGCAUUGGAUACUGGCAGACUUGAGUACGGGAGAGGGAAGUGGAAUUCCGAGUGUAGGAGUGAAAUCCGUAGAUAUUCGGAGGAACACCGGUGGCGAAGGCGGCUUCCUGGACCGAUACUGACGCUGAGACGCGAAAGCGUGGGGAGCAAACAGGAUUAGAUA